rnacentral:rRNA from 1 species
AUGGGAUGCCCUGUCCGGUGUAAGCUGAACGUAGAUGGAACACAGUAGGUGGUCACUGAAUAUUUUGACGAGCACAACCACAAUCUCAUAAAGAAGUUCGACCUGGUCAAAUUUCUGACCGCCCAUAGAGGAUUCACCCCAGUCGAAAGGCAAUUCGUAAAGCUGCUACAUGAUUGUAACAUCGGUCCAUCAAGAAUGGUCCAGAUACUAUCACUCAUCCACAGCAAAAAGGGGAAACUGAGUAGCAUGCCGUACAUACCGGCUGACGUCACAAACCUACAGGCCAAGUACCAUAGAGAGAGCAGGCUGGCUGACAUAGAGGCUACAAUUGCCUACUUCGAUGAGAAAGCAAAAGAAGAUCCAGAUUUCUUCUACAGGAUAAGGUUGGACGAUGAGGACCGUGUCAGGAACAUGUAUUGGGUGGAUGGUGCUGCAAGGAAAGCCUACAAACAUUUCUGAGAUUGCAUUUCAUUCGACGCGACGUACCUCACCAAUAUGUACAAGAUGCCAUGCGCUCCGUUCAUAGGAAUAAAUAACCACAAUCAGUCGUUGCUGUUCGGAUGCGGGCUCGUUCGGAACGAAGACACGGAUGGUUACAUCUGGUUGUUCAAGACCUUCUUGGAGUGUAUGGAUGGACUUGCGCCGAUGAACAUAAUAACAGACCAGGAUUUCAGCAUGCGUGCAGGCAUAGAGGAGGUCUUUCCGUUGGCAGUGCACAGGCACUGCAGGUGGCACAUUAUAAAGAAGGCUGAGGAGACGCUAGAGUUUGAAAGGAGCUGGAUGGCCAUGGUUGAAACACAUGAAGUCCAAGACAACGAGACGCUUGCUAGCCUGUGGGAGAAGCGAAUGUACUGGGUGCCCGCCUACUUCAUGCAGUGCUUCUUCCCCUUUCUGCAGACUACACAGCGCAGCGAGGGGUUCAAUGCUGUUUUGAAGCGAUACGUGAGUCCUGGCAACUCAUUGCUACAGUUUGCCAAGCAAUAUACAGCUUUGCAAUAAAAAAUACUGGGAUCUGAGCUAUAGCAAGAAGCGAACACCGCACUGAAGCAGCCAAAAUUGCUGACGUAUUUACAGAUGGUGGAUGAACAUACGUUCAAGGGGAUGUCGGAUUCAGAACCUGAAGACCCAGACAAAGGGAGGAACUACUUCGUGAAAACCUCGAUCGAGCAAGGCGAAUACUACUGCCAAUGCUGCAAGUUCGAACGGGACGGCAUUGUGUGUUGUCACAUACUAAAGGUAAUGGACAUGAACGCUGUGACACGGAUGCCCCGCCAUUUCAUAAGGCGGCGAUGGACUUGGGACGCUGACGACGCGUUGGUGCCGCAGACAACACACGCGGUUCUGGCUGUGCAUGACGAGAGACCUGAGUCAACCAUGGAAACCAUGAGGCACGUUGUGCUCACAAAGAACUAUGCUGAGCUAAUUGAUGAAGCGUGCAAGAGUGAUGAGACAGUGAGAGUCGCAGAAAAACACAGGAAGGCACUGAAAAGAGAGCUUGAGGAGAUCAAGAAGAGGAAAGCUGAGGAAGCCUUACACCGGUUCCCCCGCACAUCAAGUGUGCCUCCAUCGACGGGGCCGUCGUCUGAAAACUCGGAGAUAGGAUCUGGAACAGCAAGCACACAAACCCAGGUCAGGAAUCCACCCCGUUCAAUCACAAAGGGUCGCCCCAGAGAGAUAAGGUACAAGUCAGGAUUGGAGAUUCAAGCAAAACACAAGAAAACGAAGAAAGGCGCGGGCAAUCCAUGA